UGGAAUGUAAAGUCACCAUUUUGAAAGAAGCUUAGCGGACCGUCCUGUAAGUCAUAUUUGAUUACCAAGCUUGUGAGCGUCAUUUUGUAGCUCAUAUCAAAAAUUGUUUUGUUUUUUCGUAAGCCUACUUAUUAAAUUUAACAAAAUAUCCAAAAACAGAAAGAAUAUGGCAAGGUAUAGGGAGUGGGAUCUUUCGUGUAAGGUUUAUGUCGGUAAUUUGGGUUCAUCAGCUAGUAAACAUGAAAUUGAAAGUGCGUUUGGUAAAUACGGUCCAUUAAGGAACGUUUGGGUUGCCAGGAAUCCUCCCGGCUUUGCGUUUGUGGAAUUUGAAGAUCCCCGAGAUGCAGAAGACGCAGUUCGAGGUUUAGAUGGAACUCGUUGCUGUGGUACUAGAGUAAGAGUUGAAAUGUCUAAUGGUCGUUCUAGAAGAGGUGGCGGAGGAGGAAGAAGAGGACCUUCUCGUUAUUCCAGGCCUUCAGCCCCACUGCUGUUAUCCUUCCUCCAACCGCGGACCAUCGGUCCGUUACACAUCUUCACCUCACAUCGACUAAACAUCCAUCCACCUUGAUCCUCGGGAGCUGAUCACAGAUUGUCAUCAAUCUUCUAAUGAAAAAUUAUUUUUCUUCAAUAUCAAUUCAACUACUGGUGUACAACUUUAAUCUCGACGUCGACAUCCGACAACAUACCACCACAGCAUCUUUAAUUUUUUCACCUCUCAGCACAAAUACAAGUGGGAAAGAUAAUUUUUUUUGCUCAGUAUUUGCGUAAAUAACGUUUUUUCUAGAUUUUCGAUUGAAUUGGGUAAUAAUUUGAAAUUUCAAACUAAUUUCAAGAAUCUAAUGUAAUAAAUAUAUUUUUUUACAUAUAUAAUUAUUACUAUCGAUAAGGUCGAGUUUAUUUAAGUAUUUCUGCAAAUUUGACUCAUUACAAUCGUUCUUUAGAGAAAACAAUUUUCUUAUUGUGUGUAACUAAAAAAUGAUGUUAAUCCCCAAUUGAUUCUUACAAUGAGUUGUGUUUAUUUAAUUGGAUAGUUCAGGAAAGAAAAAACAAAGUUUGAAAGUUUUUAAGAAUUCAAUUGAGGUUAAGUCUUGAAAAAAAUAUCUUUUUUAAUUCAAACAAUCAUUUUUUUCUUCUAUUAACGUUUUUUGUUAUAUGAAGAAUUAAGAAAUGAAAAUUCAACAUCCUAUAAAAUCCAUGUUUAGAGGUUACUUAAUAACUCUUGCUUUCUAAUCCCAGAGCUAUCUCCAGUAUAUGCCCUAGCUCCAACUAGGUUUGAAGCAUUGUUUUUGAUUGCUUACAAUGACUAGAUAUUCUAGACCCAGGUACCCGGUUCAGUUUCUGCUAUAACUAAUCUCAUUGCAUUGCCGAUGAGGGUGUGUAGCUUGUUUUUGUUUUGAUAUAAAUGUUAUGAAGGUUCUGAAAGAAGUUUUUUGGAGCAAUCCAUCCCAGGAAAGCACCCCCAGUUUGUUUUUCCCUCGUUGAAGUUUUUUUGUUAACCACUAGGCCCCUGAGUCCUUUUUUUUUUAGUUCAAUUCUACUAUUCAUUUUCUUUGGUUCCAGAUACCCAAAAUAAAGUCUACUAUUUUUGCAUAUUUCAUUAAGUUUUUUUAUUCUUAUCCUAGCUUUCAGUUGAUGACAUGGGAACUUGUGCAUCGAAAGCUACUCGAUUGUCAUAAUUUUUUAUAGUCCAUGUAUGGAGCCUCAGAUGUCAGUUUGUUAAUAUAGCUGCUAUUGACCACAAAUUACUUUCUAUUCAUUUAUUAGUUUAUCUGUUAUGUCUUUAACUCAUUUUGAUCAAUUUUCUGGAAAAUUUGGAUUAUUUUUUGUUUUUUUUUUAUUAUAAAUAAACUUGCAGGACAAAAAAUGAAAGCUUGAUUAAAUAGGCAAACAAAUUUGGUUUCUGUUUUCUCUUGAUUCACCUUCAUAUAUAUUUAAAUUGGAUUUACUUCUGCUUUUUUCAAAAAUAUUUUCAGAUUUAACCUUUUUUUUUUUUAGUUACAAAAGUUACAUCCCGUAAUCUACAACAAAUAAUGAAAUUCAUUUUAAAAGAGUUAAAAAAAAAGUUACUCCUUUCAUCUCAGUGUAAUAUAUUUUCUAGCAAAUAUUUUUUCACUUAUAUAAAAUUAAAAAAAAAACUCAUCAAUCAAAAUAUAGAAUUUUUUAAUUAUACAAGGACGAAAAACAAAUUAAUUAUGAAGUAUAUUACUGUAUAUUUAUACUGAUCACACUGUAUAAUACUGAAAGUUACACUAUCUGGUCCUUCGAGCCGGCUAUAGAAGGUUCCAAGGAUCAGAUGGUAUAAUUGGAUUAGUGUACUGGUAAUAUACAGUGUGUUCAGUAUAAUUAUCACCAAUGAUUGCAGAAAUUCCAACUUAACACCAUAUGACGUCAUAAUUAGUUAAUAUACUGUAGUAUUUAGGGAAAUUUCAAGUUUUCUCUAUCUGGAACAUCAUAGAUGUUGGUACAUACUAUAAUGUAUCGAUGUUUCAUGUUUCGGGUAGGAAAAAAAUUAGUACUCUUCGCUUUUUGUAUCACAAUUUUAUCUACCAGGUUACUUAAAAGUCCGAUUGAUGUCAUUUUAUUAGUUACACAUAUUGUUUUUCCUACUUUUAUGUCAGCAAAUUGCAGCUCCAACAAAUUAAUAUAAAAAUAAUGGAUUUUGCCACAACGUUGACAUUGGUUUGUACAUUUCUGACAACAAGGCAACGAGACCUACCUAAUUGUCUAUUGCAACCCCUUCAAGUGAGUUAAACACCCGGUAGAAAAUUAAUCCCAUAAGAAAGAUCACUUGUCGAGUGAUGUUUCCAACACUUUGAAAUUCAAAGCAUCAAGGAAAACAUUACCGAAUGUGUCGAGAUCUCCGAGACGAUCCAGAAGCCCCAGAUCCAGAUCUAGAAGCCGAGAUUCGAGAGGAAGAUCAGAUUCUCGAGACAGACGCUAAAAUUUUCGAAUUUUAAGUUUUUACCGAAUAUUUGUGGAAAAAGUAUACAAUAGUAUUUUAAUUUUUACAUUUUUUUUAAGUAAACCUUUCUACUUAAUUUCAUCUUUAUGUAUUUUCACUUUAUAUUAGUCUACAAUCGUAACGAUGGUAAAUAUACAUAUAUAUGAAGCCGUAAUUUAAUUUUUUUUAUUGGUAUUUUGUAUCUAAGUUAGGUGCAAACUUAUGUAUGACAGUGUAUUUAAUAUUAUAUGUGCGUGGAUAAAUAAAAGGCAGUUUAAGAUCUAAU